UGGACUUGAACCUUGCAGGAAGACAGUUAUGAAGUACAAUGCACCAGUUCUACUUGUGACAACUUUCAGCUCAGACUAUGAAUAUUAGGACUGCAACAAUUCAAUGGCUAUUGUCUGCCAUAUCAGAUAGUGACAUUAAACACCUUUUAUCCAUGGUUUAUCCUAGGUGAUGUCUUCUUGGCUUCUUGUCAAACCUGGCACAGCCCUACCUUUUGCAGCAUCCAGAUUGAAUUGAUGACUGAGACAACUUACAUGAUUGAGUAGAAGUACACUUACUGGAACUGACCUGUGUUCAGGUCUCAAAACUGAUUUACAGUUCUUUCAAAGUUUGACCCAAGAUUUGAGAGCUACAGGAAGGCAAGGCCAAGGAAAACAGCCCAAAUCUGUAUUUUUCAGAUCUUUGCAAGAUCCGGAAACGACUGGGACAGAACUCGUGCUGUGAUGUGAGGGAGCUCAAGCUUAAUGAUGAAACCUGG
ensembl:lncRNA